rnacentral:guide_RNA from 1 species
AUAAGAAACGGUCGAACGCAUCAUCUAUGAGAUAAAGAUAAUAGUUGUAAU